UAAAAGAUUGUAGGAAGAAA
rnacentral:piRNA from 1 species